UUUAGUCUGCAGCUAACGCAUUAAGCACUCCGCCUGGGAGUCGGUCGCAAGACUGAAACUCAAAGAAUUGACGGGGCCGCACAACGGUGGAGCAUGUGGUUUAUUCGAAGCAACGCGAAGAACCUUACCAGGUCUUGACAUCCUCUGACACUCCUAGAGAUAGGACGUUCCCCUUCGGGGGACAGAGUGACAGGUGGUGCAUGGUUGUCGUCAGCUCGUGUCGUGAGAUGUUGGGUUAAGUCCCGCAACGAGCGCAACCCUUGAUCUUAGUUGCCAGCAUUCAGUUGGGCACUCUAAGGUGACUGCCGGUGACAAACCGGAGGAAGGUGGGGAUGACGUCAAAUCAUCAUGCCCCUUAUGACCUGGGCUACACACGUGCUACAAUGGACGGUACAAAGGGCAGCAAAACCGCGAGGUCGAGCCAAUCCCAUAAAACCGUUCUCAGUUCGGAUUGCAGGCUGCAACUCGCCUGCAUGAAGCCGGAAUCGCUAGUAAUCGCGGAUCAGCAUGCCGCGGUGAAUACGUUCCCGGGCCUUGUACACACCGCCCGUCACACCACGAGAGUUUGUAACACCCGAAGUCGGUGGGGUAACCUUUUGG
rnacentral:rRNA from 2 species